GACGUAGGGCGCGAGCGUUGUCCGGAUUUAUUGGGCGUAAAGAGCUCGUAGGCGGCUUGUCGCGUCGAAUGUGAAAACUCGGGGCUCAACCCCGCGCUUGCAUUCGAUACGGGCAGGCUCGAGUUCGGUAGGGGAGACUGGAAUUCCUGGUGUAGCGGUGAAAUGCGCAGAUAUCAGGAGGAACACCGGUGGCGAAGGCGGGUCUCUGGACCGAUACUGACGCUGAGGAGCGAAAGCGUGGGGAGCGAACAGG
rnacentral:rRNA from 1 species